CAUUAAUGUGUUUUAUUUUCUCAAAGUUUGACUUCAGACAAAAAUUCUAAAACUGAAAGAUAGUAAUAUUUAAGGAUGUCUUCCUAAAAUUAUCUUAAGUACAUUGAAUAUUUCCAAAAAUGUGUUUUUCUUCUGAGGGUUUUGUAUGCUGGUAAGAAAUAUUUUUGGAACAGAAUAGAGAAGGAUUAAGUGAAAAACAAAUGCCCCCUUUUACUCUUAUUCCAGUUCUCAGAGGAAACAGUUUCUUGCCCGGACUUCCAGUUAUUUUCUAUACAUAGAAAGUAUAUUAUAUAUAGCAAUAUAAAAUUUGUCAUGAAUGAACUACUCUAUGCACACUCUGACAGUUACUUUUUAAGUUAAACAAUAUCUCAAAUAUCUCACAUAUCUAUACUCUCACAAGUAUUACGUAUAUAUUACAUAUAUACUUGCCUAAUUAGUUUUUGGUGACAAUAUAUUGUAUUAUACAAAUGCAAAAAUGUACCAUAAUUUUUAAUAACAAAUCUCUUUGCAAGGGUAGCUCCAGCUUCUAUUAGGAGUGAAAUCCUGGAUAAAAGAUAACCAACUUGUCUCCAAAGUCGAUUCUCCAAAACUGUUUCAGUUUCCAUCCCCACAUGGUAAUAUCAGUAGAAGAGCAAAGUGCCCAUUGUCCCACAACCUGUUUAACAUGGUCACGCAGCGGGAUUCUUUGCCAAAUGGCUUACUUCAAUAAGCUUCAUGAAUGUUUAAAUGAAUGGAUCUCAGUUUAUGAAUGAGGAUUACCAUCCUCUCAUACACGACUACUGAACGUAUCUCACUUUCUGAAUGGGGAUCAUCUUCUCAUAUACUACCACCUUUUUUUUCGAAACAGGGUCUCACUCUGUUGCCCAGGUUAGAGUGCGAUGGCAUGAUCAUAGCUCUCUGCAACCAGUCUGGAACUCCUGGGCUCAAGCUACCCUUCCACCUCAGCCUCCUGAGUAGCUGGGACUACAGAAUGGAGUACUCCAGAGCAAUGUUCUCCACUUCUCCCACGGCAUCAUGACACCCCUAAAUCUCUCUUCUAAUUAGGAUAUUCUUCUCUGGGCUCUCAGGUCCCUGGAGGUCUCAGGGACAUUGGUGCCAUGUUCAGUGUCUAAAAGGUAAGGUUUUUGCUCUUUGUACUUCUUCAGUUUGGCCCAGAUGUCCUUGUAUUUGUCAGAUAUUUUUCACAGUGAUUCCUACGUUAUUUUAAAGUCAGUUCUCUCACCUAUUUUAACUGUUUGUCUACAUAGGAGAUAUCAGAG
rnacentral:lncRNA from 1 species